rnacentral:rRNA from 1 species
UACGUAGGGGGCGAGCGUUGUCCGGAAUUAUUGGGCGUAAAGGGUGCGUAGGCGGCCUUUUAAGUCAGGUGUGAAAGGUCACGGCUCAACCGUGGUAAGCACUUGAAACUGGAAGGCUUGAGUUAAGGAGAGGAAAGUGGAAUUCCUAGUGUAGCGGUGAAAUGCGUAGAUAUUAGGAGGAAUACCAGUGGCGAAGGCGACUUUCUGGACUUAAACUGACGCUGAGGCACGAAAGCGUGGGGAGCAAACAGG